rnacentral:lncRNA from 1 species
AUUAAAUAAACACAGAACCUAUAAGUAAGUAAAAAUUUAGAUACAUGCAUAUCUUUAAAAUUCUUAAGCAAUAUUAAGCCAUUUUGCCUAGAUAUCAUGAACCUCAAUUCUUUGAGAUUUGGAAUGUUUUUAAGUUUAAAUACUUUUCUCCUAAAUAAUGUGAUUAUUUGAGUUUUCUAAUAAUGUUAUGAUAAAAUUUAAAAAUCCAUCCUCAAAAAGUUUAGUAAUAAUUACUAGCAAAUCUUAGUGUAAAUCACAGGUUGUAAUGCCUGUUUACCGUUUUUUCAAUAUUGAAAUAAGAAAUUAGGAAAAAAUCUGCAUUUUUUUAGUUCUGGUAAGAUUUCAUUUUAAGUUGUCUACUUUUAAAAAAAAUUAUAAAUUAUUUAGUAUGCUGACAUUCAAGCUUUAAAUAAUUCAUGAACAUGAUGAAUAAUGUAGAGUACUUAGCAUCAAAAACUCUGUCUUGUCUCAGUUGGAAUAAAUCUUAAUAGCCUCUGGGAAAUGGUUUGAAAUGAGUGAGCUAUAAGUAAUGAAUAAAUUAUCAUAGUUAAGAAAGAGCAAAUAAAGUGAUUUAAUUCAGUUUCAGUUAUUCUUUGCUACCAUCCCAAAACUUAAUGGCUUAAGAUAACUAUUUUAUUUGCUCACUUUUUUGUGGGAUAACAGUUUGGUCAGGUUUAACUGAGUAAUCCUCCUUUCUCAAGUGGUUGUACUUAUCUGCCACCUUGACUGAGGCAGUUGUAUAGUUUUUCUAAAAUUACCUGCUCAUGUGUCUGGCAGUUGUGCUAAGUGUUGGGUAGCUCAUAUGAUCCCAUUGAGGUUUUUAUGUGGCAGUAACAGCCUUCUGAGAGCUUGAAAACAGAAGUUGCAAGGCCUCUUGAUCCCAGUUUAGAAUAUACAUGCUGUCCAUUUACAGUAGCAUUAAAAAGAAUGAAAUAUUCAGGAAUGUUUCUAACCAAGGAGGUGAAAGACUUGUACAUUUAAAAACUACAAAAUGUUGCUGAAAAAAGUUAAAGAAUAUGUGAAAAGACAAGACAUCUCCUAUUCAAAGACUAGAAGACUUAAUAUUAUUAAGAUAAUAAUACUUGGGGCUGGGGUUGUGGCUCAGUGGUAGAGCUCUUGCCUAGCAUGUGCGGUUCCCUGGGUUCAAUCCUCAGUAACACAUAAAAGUAAAAUAAUGGUAUUGUGUCCAACUACAACUAAAAAAUAAUAUUUAAAAAAAUAUAUUAAUACUGCCCAAAGUGUUCUACAGAUUCAAUAUAAUCUACAUCAGAAUCCUAGUGCUUCUGUAAAAAUAGAAAAAUUCGUGCUAAAAUUGAUUUGGAUUUCCACAGUACCCUUUAUAGCAAACACAAUCUUGGAAAAGAAAACAAAGUUGAAGGUCUCAUUUCCUGAUUCCAAAACUUGCUACAAAACUGCUCUAAUGAAAACACUGUGGUAUUGGCAUACAGAGUAACAGGUAUACCAGUAGAAUAAAAUAGAGAGCUCAGAACUAAAUCCUCAUAUCUGUGGUCAAAAAAUUUUGAGAAAAGUACAAAGAUCAUUCUUAAUUAACACCUGAGGAAUUAACUUAUGAAGUUAUUAAAAGUUACAGUGCAUAAUCAUAAACCCAUUGUUUUUAGACCUCUGGUGGGAAUGUUAGCUGGCAGUGGCAGGGAACAAGUAGCAGAGCAAACUUCUCAGCUCAUGACCAGAAAGCAAGAGAGAAAGAGAGGAGCUGGGUCUCUCAGUUCCCUUUGUGGGCAUGCCCCCAAUGACCUAAGAUUCUCAUACUAGAUCCCACUUCUCAAACAUUCCACCAGUUUCCAACAGUACCAGCCUUUAAUGCAUAGGUCUUUGGUGACAUUCAGCAUCAAAAUUAUAGCACCAUUCAGUGGGUAAAGAACAUUUUAAAUAAAUGGUUCUGGGAAAACUGGAUAUCCACAUGAAAAAAUGUAGUUCAGCCCUUCCCAUACUUUAUAUACAAAAAUUUUACUCAGUGGAUCAAAGAUCUAAACAUAUGUUUUUUAAAAAAAAAAAAAUUAAUGUAAUGUAUAUUUUACCACAAUAAAAAAAAUAAAUUCAUAAGUUGUGUCAUUGUUGCAUAUUAUGUUAGUCAAAAUAUGUCAGAAAGCCAGUCCAGAUUCAAGGUAUAUGGAUAUAAAUUUCACCUCAUUUUGGGAAAAACAGCAAAGUCACAUUUGCAAAGGGCCUUAUGAAAUGGAAGAAAUGAUGGCAAUUAUCUUUGCAAACAAUCUAAUAGAAAAUGUGAUAGACUUCAAGAGAAAUUAGAAUAUUGAAUUCAGA